rnacentral:rRNA from 1 species
UACGGGGGGGGUAAGCGUUGUUCGGAAUUACUGGGCGUAAAGGGCUCGUAGGCGGCCAACUAAGUCGGACGUGAAAUCCCUCAGCUUAACUGGGGAACUGCGUCCGAUACUGGAUGGCUUGGAUUUGGGAGAGGGAUGCGGAAUUCCAGGUGUAGCGGUGAAAUGCGUAGAGAUCGGAAAGAACACCAACGGCGAAAGCACUCUGCUGGGCCGACACUGACACUGAGAGACGAAAGCUAGGGGAGCGAAUGGG